AAGAAAGCGUAACAGCUCACUGGUUUAGUUUUUUUGCGUCAAAAAUGUAUAGGGACUAAUAUUACUUGCCGAAACAAUAGAUUUAAAUGACUAAAAUUUUAUUGGUACAUUUAAAUGGUAGCAGAACGUUCUGUAGAUCUAAGAAGAUUUAUGGUAACAUAAAUUGUAGAGAUCAGAAGUGUAAAUGUUGAUAUGAGUAGCGAAAAACAAUGUGCGCUUUAGGCAAAGCAUUGUUGCCUUAAGUUCAAGGUUUCCAAAGCAAGGCUAAUCCUCUUUGGUUAAAUCGGUCCCUAAGAAUUUGACGAAAGUUAGUAUUUGAUGGGUGAUAAUAUUAUUCAAUUUAAAGUGACAAAAUAUGAAAAUUAUUUUUAUUUAAUGGUUAAAAUAAAAGUUUUUUAGUAUUUUCGAGAAAUAGCUUUAAAAAUCUAACCGUACUGUAAACCGACACAGGUGAACAAAUUUAGUAAAUUAAGGCACUUGAGAGAAUUGUACUGAAGGAACUCGGCAAAAUGACUCCGUAACUUCGGAAUAAGGAGUAGCUUUUUGAGGGAAACCUUAAAAAGCUGGCACAAAAUCGAGGACAGCGACUGUUUAAUAAAAACACAGGUCUCUG
rnacentral:rRNA from 1 species